UACAGAGGUCCCGAGCGUUGUUCGGAUUCACUGGGCGUAAAGGGUGCGUAGGUGGUGGGGUAAGUCGGAUGUGAAAGCUCGGAGCUCAACUCCGAAAUGGCAUUGGAAACUACCCUGCUGGAGGUUUGGAGGGGGGACUGGAAUACUUGGUGUAGCAGUGAAAUGCGUAGAUAUCAAGUGGAACACCAGUGGCGAAGGCGGCUCACUGGCCCGGUACUGACGCUGAGGUGCGAAAGCGUGGGGAGCAAACAGG
rnacentral:rRNA from 1 species